rnacentral:rRNA from 1 species
GUGGGGAAUCUUCCGCAAUGGACGAAAGUCUGACGGAGCAACGCCGCGUGAACGAUGACGGCCUUCGGGUUGUAAAGUUCUGUUAUACGGGACGAAUGGUACGACGGUCAAUACCCGUCGUAAGUGACGGUACCGUAAGAGAAAGCCACGGCUAACUACGUGCCAGCAGCCGCGGUAAUACGUAGGUGGCAAGCGUUGUCCGGAAUUAUUGGGCGUAAAGGGCGCGCAGGCGGCGUCGUAAGUCGGUCUUAAAAGUGCGGGGCUUAACCCCGUGAGGGGACCGAAACUGCGAUGCUAGAGUAUCGGAGAGGAAAGCGGAAUUCCUAGUGUAGCGGUGAAAUGCGUAGAUAUUAGGAGGAACACCAGUGGCGAAAGCGGCUUUCUGGACGACAACUGACGCUGAGGCGCGAAAGCCAGGGGAGCAAACGGGAUUAGAUACCCCGGUAGUCCUGGCCGUAAACGAUGGAUACUAGGUGUAGGAGGUAUCGACCCCUUCUGUGCCGGAGUUAACGCAAUAAGUAUCCCGCCUGGGGAGUACGGCCGCAAGGCUGCAACUCAAAUAAAUUGACGG